UAACCAGAGACUUAGAGUUUUGUUGAGUCCAAAAGUUAGAGGUUGUAGGAGCUUUCCUUUGGUCAUUUCCUAGGGUGUCUAACCAGAAGUUAUCUGAAGCUAGGAGUUUCGAAGCCAUAAGUCAAGGAGUUCGGAGUUAGAGGCAUUGGGUUACAUAGUGUUCUUGCUCCAGGUUGUUAACUCAGGUGUCCGGUUAAGAGUUCUGAC
rnacentral:lncRNA from 1 species